rnacentral:rRNA from 1 species
GACGAACGCUGGCGGCGUGCUUAACACAUGCAAGUCGAACGGAGCGGCGAACGGGUGAGUAACACGUGGGUGAUCUGCCUUGCACUUCGGGAUAAGCUUGGGAAACUGGGUCUAAUACCGAAUAGUGCAAGAUGAGGUCGCGGCCUAUCGGCUUGUUGGUGGGGUAAUGGCCUACCAAGGCGUCGACGGGUAGCCGGCCUUGGAGGGUGUACGGCCAGAUUGGGGCUGACGUACGGUCCAGACGGCUACGGGAGGGAUCGGUGGGGAAUAGUGCGCAAGGGGGGGAAGGCUGUUGCAGCGACGCCGGGUGGGGGAUGAAGGCCUUCGGGUGGUAAACUCCGUUCGACAGGGACGCGGUACCUAUAUAAGAAGCACCGGCUAACUACGUGCCAGCAGCCGCGGUAAUAC